GUGAAGCCCAGCUUGCUGGGUGGAUCAGUGGCGAACGGGUGAGUAACACGUGAGCAACCUGCCCUCCACUUCGGGAUAAGCCUUGGAAACGGGGUCUAAUACCGGAUAUGAGCUCGCAUCGCAUGGUGUGGGUUGGAAAGUUUUUCGGUGGGGGAUGGGCUCGCGGCCUAUCAGCUUGUUGGUGGGGUGAUGGCCUACCAAGGCGUCGACGGGUAGCCGGCCUGAGAGGGCGACCGGCCACACUGGGACUGAGACACGGCCCAGACUCCUACGGGAGGCAGCAGUGGGGAAUAUUGCACAAUGGGCGCAAGCCUGAUGCAGCGACGCCGCGUGAGGGAUGACGGCCUUCGGGUUGUAAACCUCUUUCAGCAGGGAAGAAGCGCAAGUGACGGUACCUGCAGAAGAAGCGCCGGCUAACUACGUGCCAGCAGCCGCGGUAAUACGUAGGGCGCAAGCGUUGUCCGGAAUUAUUGGGCGUAAAGAGCUCGUAGGCGGUCUGUCGCGUCUGGUGUGAAAUCCCGAGGCUCAACCUCGGGCUUGCAUCGGGUACGGGCAGACUAGAGUGCGGUAGGGGAGACUGGAAUUCCUGGUGUAGCGGUGGAAUGCGCAGAUAUCAGGAGGAACACCGAUGGCGAAGGCAGGUCUCUGGGCCGCAACUGACGCUGAGGAGCGAAAGCAUGGGGAGCGAACAGGAUUAGAUACCCUGGUAGUCCAUGCCGUAAACGUUGGGCACUAGGUGUGGGGCUCAUUCCACGAGUUCCGUGCCGCAGCUAACGCAUUAAGUGCCCCGCCCGGGGAGUACGGCCGCAAGGCUAAAACUCAAAGGAAUUGACGGGGGCCCGCACAAGCGGCGGAGCAUGCGGAUUAAUUCGAUGCAACGCGAAGAACCUUACCAAGGCUUGACAUGUACGAGAAAGCCCCCGAGACGGGGUUCUCUUUGGACACUCGUACACAGGUGGUGCAUGGUUGUCGUCAGCUCGUGUCGUGAGAUGUUGGGUUAAGUCCCGCAACGAGCGCAACCCUCGUCCUAUGUUGCCAGCGGGUUAUGCCGGGGACUCAUGGGAGACUGCCGGGGUCAACUCGGAGGAAGGUGGGGAUGACGUCAAAUCAUCAUGCCCCUUAUGUCUUGGGCUUCACGCAUGCUACAAUGGCCGGUACAGAGGGCUGCGAUACCGUAAGGUGGAGCGAAUCCCAAAAAGCCGGUCUCAGUUCGGAUUGGGGUCUGCAACUCGACCCCAUGAAGUCGGAGUC
rnacentral:rRNA from 1 species